AGACUAGACUAGACUCCAUAGGGAGUUCUCUGAUGGAUUAGUAUUGGCCACCUGUCAUGUGUGGGAGAGAUAUUUUUACACUCACCUUAGGCAUGGCUGCAGCAAAUUACAACAAACAAAGCCUAUAUUGUUUGUGUGUUACAGGCCCAGACUGACUUGGUGGAGUUAAAUAAACAGAACAGAGAUGGACUGAGUCCCCUGAUGCUGGCUGUAAGGGAUGUGGAUCUGUUUGAAGAACUGGAGAUGCCGUGGGACUAUAAACCUGUGGAAGUGUUGAAAGAACUUAUGUCUCUUCUGGUUGAUAUGAAGAUCCUUGAUGGAAGAGGUCCUAGUGCUCUGUGGUGCGUCUCUCAGAUCAAGAGCACCAAGAAGGAAGAACUCUUCCGUAUAGUGGAUUUAUCAAUGCAAACAGAAAGAAUCAGCUGAGACUUUAAAGGCACAAAAGGAUCAUGCAGACAUCCACCAAGGUGAGUCAACAACUAGACUAGAAAAAUUUAUUGUUAAUCUUAGAAGACAGAACAUUGUAUCAGAGGUACACCUGCAGGAUCAUUCCAGAAUGACAUUGACUCUGUGUCCACCUUUUCCACCACCCUGAAACAGACAUUUACACACACAGACACACACAGAGCUGUCUCAGUCUCUCAGCCCAUCCCUCAGAGAUCCAUGAAAAUAGGAGGGGUGUGUCUGACUGCUUUUUGGGCUCCUCUGUUUUAAAUGAGUCAGACUUCACGGAGUCGUCAACAGAGAACCUCUGACACUCACAGAUAAGGAUUAUGCAAGACUCGGAGGAACUGUAAAACAUUUGGUUUCACUGAAGCUUGUGCUAAUUUAGAGAGGACUGACUUUUUGAAAGGUACUUUCUGCAUAUAUUGCAUAUUUAGUUAACAUGUUGUGUGUGUAUAGUUUGGGGUCUUUAAGAUUUUUAAGCUAUUAUUUAAAGACUAAUUUACAAUUUAAACAGCUUGUGCUAAUUUAGAGAGGACUGACUUUUUUGAAAGGUACUUUCUGCAUUAUAUUGCAUAUUUAGUUAACAAUGUUGUGUGUGUAUAGUUUGGGGUCUUUAAGAUUUUUUAAGCAUUAUUUAAAGACAAUUUACAAUUUAAAACAGCUGUUUUCUUUUUCAUUUAUUUGAAAAUGUAAUUUAUUCCUGUGACGACAAAGUUGAAUUUUUAAGUAGUCAUUACUCCAAACCUUUGU
rnacentral:lncRNA from 1 species